rnacentral:rRNA from 1 species
GAUGAACGCUGGCGGCGUGCCUAAUACAUGCAAGUCGAGCGAACGGACGAGAAGCUUGCUUUUCUGAUGUUAGCGGCGGACGGGUGAGUAACACGUGGAUAACCUACCUAUAAGACUUGGAUAACUUCGGGAAACCGGAGCUAAUACCGGAUAAUAUUUUGAACCGCAUGGUUCAAAAGUGAAAGACGGUCUUGCUGUCACUUAUAGAUGGAUCCGCGCUGCAUUAGCUAGUUGGUAAGGUAACGGCUUACCAAGGCAACGAUGCAUAGCCGACCUGAGAGGGUGAUCGGCCACACUGGAACUGAGACACGGUCCAGACUCCUACGGGAGGCAGCAGUAGGGAAUCUUCCGCAAAGGGCGAAAGCCUGACGGAGCAACGCCGCGUGAGUGAUGAAGGUCUUCGGAUCGUAAAACUCUGUUAUUAGGGAAGAACAUAUGUGUAAGUAACUGUGCACAUCUUGACGGUACCUAAUCAGAAAGCCACGGCUAACUACGUG